GAUGAACGCUGGCGGCGUGCCUAAUACAUGCAAGUCGAGCGAACAGACGAGGAGCUUGCGCCUCUGACGUUAGCGGCGGACGGGUGAGUAACACGUGGAUAACCUACCUAUAAGACGGGGAUAACUGCGGGAAACCGGAGCUAAUACCGGAUAAUAUAAUGAACCGCAUGGUUCAAUAGUGAAAGACGGUUUUGCUGUCACUUAUAGAUGGAUCCGCGCCGCAUUAGCUAGUUGGUAAGGUAACGGCUUACCAAGGCAACGAUGCGUAGCCGACCUGAGAGGGUGAUCGGCCACACUGGAACUGAGACACGGUCCAGACUCCUACGGGAGGCAGCAGUAGGGAAUCUUCCGCAAUGGGCGAAAGCCUGACGGAGCAACGCCGCGUGAGUGAUGAAGGUCUUCGGAUCGUAAAACUCUGCUAUUAGGGAAGAACAACUGUGUAAGUAACUAUGCACGUCUUGACGGUACCUAAUCAGAAAGCCACGGCUAACUACGUG
rnacentral:rRNA from 1 species